rnacentral:rRNA from 1 species
CCUACGGGUGGCAGCAGUGAGGAAUAUUGGUCAAUGGACGCAAGUCUGAACCAGCCAAGUAGCGUGCAGGAUGACGGCCCUCCGGGUUGUAAACUGCUUUUAGUUGGGAAUAAAAGGGGGCUCGUGAGACCCGUAUUGUAUGUACCAUUCGCAAAAGGACCGGCUAAUUCCGUGCCAGCAGCAGCGGUAAUAAGGCAGGUCCGGGCGUUAUCCGGAUUUAUUGGGUUUAAAGGGAGCGUAGGCCGGCUUUUAAGUCAGCUGUGAAAGUCCGCGGCUCAACCGUGGAAUUGCAGUUGAAACUGGAGGCCUUGAGUGCACACAGGGAGGCCAGAAUUCAUGGUGUAGCGGUGAAAUGCUUAGAGAUCAGGAAGAACUCCGAUCGCGAAGGCAAGUGUCCGGGGUGCAACUGACGCUGAGGCUCGAAAGUGCGGGUAUCAAACAGGAUUAGAGACCCCAGUAGUC